rnacentral:rRNA from 1 species
ACGGAAGGCAGCAGUGGGGAAUAUUGCACAAUGGGCGCAAGCCUGAUGCAGCGAUGCCGCGUGAGGGAAGAAGGUUUUCGGAUUGUAAACCUCUGUCAUCGGGGACGAUAAUGACUGUACCCGAGAAGGAAGCUCCGGCUAACUACGUGCCAGCAGCCGCGGUAAUACGUAGGGAGCGAGCGUUAUCCGGAAUUACUGGGUGUAAAGGGAGCGUAGGCGGGACUGUAAGUCAGAUGUGAAAUAUGCCGGCUCAACUGGCAGACUGCAUUUGAAACUGCGGUUCUUGAGUGAAGUAGAGGUAAGCGGAAUUCCUAGUGUAGCGGUGAAAUGCGUAGAUAUUAGGAGGAACAUCAGUGGCGAAGGCGGCUUACUGGGCUUUAACUGACGCUGAGGCUCGAAAGCGUGGGGAGCAAACAGGAUUAGAUACCCUGGUA